GACGAACCGAGCGAACGUUGUUCGGAAUCACUGGGCUUAAAGGACGCGUAGGCGGGCACCCAAGUCUGUGGUGAAAUCCGGCAGCUUAACUGUCGAACUGCCGUGGAUACUGGGUGUCUCGAGGGAGGUAGGGGCGUGCGGAACUGAUGGUGGAGCGGUGAAAUGCGUUGAUAUCAUCAGGAACUCCGGUGGCGAAGGCGGCACGCUGGACCUCUUCUGACGCUGAGGCGCGAAAGCCAGGGGAGCAAACGGG
rnacentral:rRNA from 1 species